AUUGAACGCUGGCGGCAUGCUUUACACAUGCGAGUCGAGCGGUAACAGGCCUUCGGGUGCUGACGAGUGGCGCACGGGUGAGUAAUGCAUCGGAACGUACCCAGAGGUGGGGGAUAACGCAGCGAAAGCUGUGCUAAUACCGCAUGUGAUCUGAGGAUGAAAGCGGGGGACCGAGCAGCAAUGUUUGGCCUCGCGCCUUUGGAGCGGCCGAUGUCGGAUUAGCUAGUUGGUGGGGUAAAGGCCUACCAAGGCGACGAUCCGUAGCUGGUCUGAGAGGACGACCAGCCACACUGGGACUGAGACACGGCCCAGACUCCUACGGGAGGCAGCAGUGGGGAAUGUUGGACAAUGGGCGCAAGCCUGAUCCAGCAAUGCCGCGUGCGGGAAGAAGGCCUUCGGGUUGUAAACCGCUUUUGGCAGGAACGAAACGGUGUCCGCUAAUACCGGGCGCUAAUGACGGUACCUGCAGAAUAAGCACCGGCUAACUACGUG
rnacentral:rRNA from 1 species